ACUUGACGACGACUUGGGCCUGCAGAGGCCGCCGGGAGGCCGGAGCUGGGCCUGGAGAGGCCGACUUCAGGACGAUUUGGGCCUGCAGAGGACGCCGGGAGGCUGCAAGUGGCUCUGGAGAGGCCGAUUUGAGGAGGCCCGGCCUCAGCCUCCCACAUGGCGGCCUCUGCAGGCACAGCUGUUUCUCUUGGCUGCAUCUCCCACCUCCCAGGAAACAAGCUUUUUGGCUCAGCUCCCGCCUGCGUUUGUAGACACCGAAGUUUCGGCAACCAAGCUCUUCAGACCCACAUCCCCCCUCCCAGUACCUGAACAGUCCCAGCUCCGGCUGGAGAACAGAGUCUGUAGGCCCCGCUGUUGCCUCAGAGGGGUGUCUCCAGGCCCAGCUCUCACCCCACCGCGACCUCCCAGGCCCAAGUCCCUACCUGCCUCCCAGCAGCCCGCGUGCGACCCUGCUCCUCCCUCACGGUGGCCUGUUGAGGCAGGGGCUCACGUUGACCUCUCUCAGCCUGGGAGGGGCCGGUGUGAGGCAAGGGCUCACGCUGACCUCUCUCAGCAUGGGAGGGGCCGGUGUGAGGCAGGGGCUCAUGCCUCUGGGCAGCGUACCAGACGCAUGGGCAUCAACAGGCCACCGUGAGGGAGGAGCUGGGCCACACGCGGGCUGCUGGGAGGCAGGCAGGGACUUGGCCCUGAGAGGCUGCCGUGGGGUCAACAGCUGGGCCUGGAGAGGCCCCUGGGAGGCAAGAGCGGGACCUGCAUAGGCUGUUCUCCAACCAUUGCUGGGCCCGUACAGGCCACCGGGUGGCAGGAAUUAGGCCCGAAGAACUUGGCUGGAGAAAGUUCGGGGCCCACAAAGGCGGUUGGGAGCUGGGCAGGAGUUGAGCCAAAAGAGCUUGCUUACUUGCCGGGAGGCACGGCCGGGAGAUGCCAACUUCAGGACAACUUGGGCCUGCAGAGGUCGCCGGGAGGCCCAAGCUUGGCGUGGAGGAGCCCACCGACCAGAGACCAUUUGGGGCCUGCAGGUGCCAUCGGAGGGCAGGAGCUCAUCCUGGAGAGGCCACCGUGAGGCCUGACCUGGGCCUGGGGAGCUUGGCUUGAGGAAGCUGUGGGCUGUGGAUAUUGGAUAUAUCCAAUAUCCGAUGGAGCUGUGCCUGUGGAGGCUGUUGUGAGGCAGCAGCCUCAUCUGCGGAGACUGCCGUGACGUAGGGUAUGGGCCUAAAUAGGCCAUUGUGAGUCAUGAGCUUGGUCUGUAGAGGUUGACUGGAGAAAGUUCUGGGCCUGGAGAGGCUGCCGGGAGGUAGGAGCUGGGCCAAAAGAUUUAAGCACAUUUACAUUUAUUAGGGACUUUAUUUCCAUUAUUACAAUAUAUAAUAAUAUAUUUCAUAUAUUAAUAUAUUUAACAUAUUAAUAUAUAUAAUAUAUAUAUUUAUUAUAUAUCCAAUAUAUAAUAAAAUAAUUAUAGAACUCACCAUAAUGUCGAAUCAGUGGGCGUGUUAAGCUUGUUUCCUGAAACUGGAUGGUCCCACCUGAGCGUGAUGGGAGAAGUGACAGAUCAAUAGGUAUUAGAUUCUCAUAAGGACAGCGCAACCUAGGCCCUNACAUACCCGGUU
rnacentral:lncRNA from 1 species